UCGUAUAAUCAAUAUGGUUGACCCUAAUAUCUUGGGUCAGUCUUACAAAAUGGAUUAGGCUAAAACAGACCCAAAAUUAAAACAGGCCCAAAAGUGAAGUAGCAGCCCAAUGUACAGUAUACAUACAAUAUACAAUAAAGAUACAAUAAAAAUACAGCACUCAUCAAUGUAUGUGUUUAGGCUUAGAGGCUAAGUAGUCUUUUAGCUCAACACCCCUCCUCAAGUUGGAGGGGGAGACCACCUUCAACUUGGCCAAAAGACGAUGAACAGUGCCAGACAAUGACUUGGUGAGAACAUCAGCCAACUGGUGAGAAGUGGAGACAAGAGAGAGAGAAAUCAGACCAUCAGUGAGCUUGGAACGAACAAAAUGACAAUCGACCUCAAUAUGCUUGGUCCGCUCAUGAAAAACUGGAUUCUUAGCAAUAUGCAGGGCAACCUGGUUAUCACAAAAAACAGAAAAAGGAAAGGAAACAGAAACACCAAGGUCAGUGAGCAAUCGAGAAAGCCAAGAUAAUUUAGCAACCACCUUAUUGAGUGCCCUGUAUUCUGCCUCAGCAGAGGAUAAGGAGACCAAUGGCUGUUUCUUGGACUUCCAACUGACCAGGCUGCCACCCAAAAUCAUACAGAAACCAGUAACAGAUCUACAAGUGUCAGGGCAAGCUGCCCAGUCACUGUCUGAAAAGGCAUGCACUGAAAAAUCAAGAGUGUCAGAAUAGAAGAGCCCUAAAUCAAUAGAGCCCUUAAGAUACCUAAGAACAUGCAGGGCAGCAGACAUGUGAGGGACUCUGGGAGCCUUCAAAAACUGACUCAGAUGUUGAACAGCAAAACAAAUGUCAAGUCUGGUAUGCGUCAAGAAGAGGAGCUUGCCAACCAAGCUCCUGUAAUGUUCAGGAGAGGAGAAAAGAUCACCAGAAUCAGCAUGCAACUUGGUAUUAAGGUCCAAAGGACAUACCACAGGGGAGACAUCUACACAGUCAAACUGAUGUAGCAAAUCAGAUACAAACUUGUGCUGAUUUGGAGAAGAGAAAAGAUCACCAGAAUCAGCAUGUAACUUGGUAUUAAGGUUCGAAGGACAUACCACAGGGGAGACAUCUACACAGUCAAACUGAUGCAGCAAAUCAGAUACAAACUUUGACAAAUAAAGAGUAGUCAUUCAUAGAAUGGACAUAUCCUCUGGAGUAUAGAGCAUGAGACAAUUUGACAUACCACUGCCUGGAAGCCUGUCUCAAUCCAUAAAGGGAUUUUUGUAACUUGCACACAAGGGGUGCAGAAACAGAGGGAUCAGAAGAGGCAAAAACACACAAACCUGGAGGAAGCUUCAUAUACACCUCCUUAUCAAGGUCACCAUGCAAGAAGGCAUUGUUAACAUCAAGUUGAAAGAGACUCCAAUGUUUCUUAACAACCACAACAAUUGAGCAUUUAACAAUAGACAUUUUGACCACAGGGGAAAAGGUUUUUGUGAAAUCAACUCAUUCAAUUUGAGUGUCACCCCUAAUAACAAGCCUAGAAUUGUAUCUUUCAACACUACCAUCAGCCUUAUAUUUAACUUUAUAAACCCGUUUGCAGCCUAUGGGAUUCUUACCAGGAGGGAGGGGAGCAAUAUCCCAAGUAUGAUUGGCAUCCAAAGCCUCAAACUCCUUGCUCAUGGCAUCCUGCCAUGCUGGGACUGAUGCAGCUUGAGAAUAAUAAAGGGGUUCAGAUUCCAAAGGAGAAGAAGAGGAGGAAGAGCCAGAAAAGGAAGGUAAGCGACAAACAUAAUCAGAAAUAAUAGAGAGGUUCAGAUUCCAAAGGAGAAGAAGAGGAGGAAGAGCCAGAAAAGUAAGUUAAGUGACAAACAUAAUCAUUGAGAUAAGAGGGAGGAUUAUGUUUCCUGCCAGAUCUUCUGUGGCCAGUAGGGGCAGUAGAGGAAGAAAUAGCAGGAGGAGAAGUAUCAGAAUUGGAAAGAGGACUGGAAGCAGGAUGGUUAAGAUCAGAAAGUAAUGAGGGAGAAAAGGAAGAGGGAACAGGACUGGAAGCAGAAGGAAAAGGAGCAGAAGGAGAAGAGCAAAUGGGAACAGACAGAUCAAUCUCAGAAUAGGGAUGCUCAGGGGAAGGGACAGAAGGAGAAGGAAAAACAUAAGUACCAGAGGUAACAGCAGAAGCAGAUUCAAAAGGAAAACACGUUUCAUGAAAAAUAACAUCCCUGGACACAAAACACUUUUUAGUAGUUAGCAUCAGAAGCAGAUUCAAAAGGAAAACAGGUUUCAUGAAAAAUAACAUCCCUGGACACAAAACACUUCUUAGUAGUUAAGUCAUACAGCUUGUAACCCGUUUUGGAAAAGGGAUAUCCCAGAAAAAUACAAGAAAUAACUCUAGGCUUCAGUUUAUCUCUCUGUGGGAUUGGCACGGUGGCAUAGGCAAGACAGCCAAAUGCCCUUAAAUGUGAAUAAGUAGGAUCCUUCCCAUACAAUAUUUCAUAAGGGGAUUUGUUGUGAAGGAUUCUGGAUGGUAUCCUAUUAAGAAAGUAGGUAGCAGUCAAUAAACAAUCCCCCCAAAGAUGGAUAGGUAAUUUGGAUUGAAAAAGUAAAGCUCUACAGGCUUCAAGGAGGGUCCUAUGUUUUCUUUCUACAACAUUAUUUUGUUGAGGAGUGUGGGGACAUGUAGUUUGAUGAAUAAUUCCCUGUUUGUUGAAGAAAG
rnacentral:lncRNA from 1 species